rnacentral:rRNA from 1 species
GGAAGAACAAGUAGACUAGUAACUGGCGCUACCUUGACGGUACCUUAUUAGAAAGCCACGGCUAACUACGUGCAGCAGCCGCGGUAAUACGUAGGUGGCAAGCGUUGUCCGGAAUUAUUGGGCGUAAAGCGCGCGCAGGCGGUCCUUUAAGUCUGAUGUGAAAGCCCACGGCUCAACCGUGGAGGGUCAUUGGAAACUGGGGGACUUGAGUGCAGAAGAGGAAAGUGGAAUUCCAAGUGUAGCGGUGAAAUGCGUAGAGAUUUGGAGGAACACCAGUGGCGAAGGCGACUUUCUGGUCUGUAACUGACGCUGAGGCGCGAAAGCGUGGGGAGCAAACAGGAUUAGAUACCCUGGUAGUCCACGCCGUAAACGAUGAGUGCUAAGUGUUAGGGGGUUUCCGCCCCUUAGUGCUGCAGCUAACGCAUUAAGCACUCCGCCUGGGGAGUACGGUCGCAAGACUGAAACUCAAAGGAAUUGACGG